AACUGCCUGAUGGAGGGGGAUAACUACUGGAAACGGUAGCUAAUACCGCAUAACGUCGCAAGACCAAAGAGGGGGACCUUCGGGCCUCUUGCCAUCAGAUGUGCCCAGAUGGGAUUAGCUAGUAGGUGGGGUAACGGCUCACCUAGGCGACGAUCCCUAGCUGGUCUGAGAGGAUGACCAGCCACACUGGAACUGAGACACGGUCCAGACUCCUACGGGAGGCAGCAGUGGGGAAUAUUGCACAAUGGGCGCAAGCCUGAUGCAGCCAUGCCGCGUGUAUGAAGAAGGCCUUCGGGUUGUAAAGUACUUUCAGCGGGGAGGAAGGCGAUGUGGUUAAUAACCGCGUCGAUUGACGUUACCCGCAGAAGAAGCACCGGCUAACUCCGUG
rnacentral:rRNA from 1 species